AGUCGAGCGAGCUUGCCUAGAUGAUUUUAGUGCUUGCACUAAAUGAAACUAGAUACAAGCGAGCGGCGGACGGGUGAGUAACACGUGGGUAACCUGCCCAAGAGACUGGGAUAACACCUGGAAACAGAUGCUAAUACCGGAUAACAACACUAGACGCAUGUCUAGAGUUUGAAAGAUGGUUCUGCUAUCACUCUUGGAUGGACCUGCGGUGCAUUAGCUAGUUGGUAAGGUAACGGCUUACCAAGGCAAUGAUGCAUAGCCGAGUUGAGAGACUGAUCGGCCACAUUGGGACUGAGACACGGCCCAAACUCCUACGGGAGGCAGCAGUAGGGAAUCUUCCACAAUGGACGAAAGUCUGAUGGAGCAACGCCGCGUGAGUGAAGAAGGGUUUCGGCUCGUAAAGCUCUGUUGGUAGUGAAGAAAGAUAGAGGUAGUAACUGGCCGUUAUUUGACGGUAAUUACUUAGAAAGUCACGGCUAACUACGUGCCAGCAGCCGCGGUAAUACGUAGGUGGCAAGCGUUGUCCGGAUUUAUUGGGCGUAAAGCGAGUGCAGGCGGUUCAAUAAGUCUGAUGUGAAAGCCUUCGGCUCAACCGGAGAAUUGCAUCAGAAACUGUUGAACUUGAGUGCAGAAGAGGAGAGUGGAACUCCAUGUGUAGCGGUGGAAUGCGUAGAUAUAUGGAAGAACACCAGUGGCGAAGGCGGCUCUCUGGUCUGCAACUGACGCUGAGGCUCGAAAGCAUGGGUAGCGAACAGGAUUAGAUACCCUGGUAGUCCAUGCCGUAAACGAUGAGUGCUAAGUGUUGGGAGGUUUCCGCCUCUCAGUGCUGCAGCUAACGCA
rnacentral:rRNA from 1 species